UAGUGGUGGUGAGCAAAAAAGACCUUCAGAUUCUCAAGAAAGAUGGAUGUCUCAGCAUCAUGUUCCUGUGAUAGCCUUUCAGCUACUUUGGAGUUUAAUGGGGAAAUAGGACUAUGGGAAGCAGCGAGGAGCAUAUCUCAAAUUGGGCAAAUACCUCAACUACCAGCAGGCACCAUACAGAUAUGCCACUUGUGAGAAAAGCAGCUUCAGAAUGAUGAUGGUCUAACUGGAAGUCAUGAGGGAAUGGAGUUACAGAAUGCCAAGAAUUGUCUGCCACGUGGAACUUGCUUGGCACAUGCCUUGGGCCGUGAAAAUGUCUUCUCCUCCCACUAGAACUAUGUCUCCUAGCAGCAGCAGUGCCAGGGAAUCCCUUAUAAAAGGUAGCCUUGGUACUAGCUCUUCACACCAUCUGCCUCCUGGGAGAUAAGUCGUUCACUGUCUGUGAUUGGAUUGACCUUGCACAGAGAUGUCCUGCCAGCAAAGCCAGCAACAGUGCCAGGCCCCUAAGUGCCCACCCAAGUGUCCCCCCAAGUGUCAGACACCAAAAUGCCCACCCAAAUGCCCACCCAAGUGUCCUCCCAAGUGUCCACCCAAGUGCCCUCCCCAGGCUCCAUGCCCUCCUCCUUCUUGCUGUGGCUCUAGCUCAGGAGGAUGCUGUAGCUCAGGAGGAUGCUGUGGGAGCUCUGGAGGAUGCUGCAGCUCUGGCUCUGGAGGAGGCUGCUGCCUCUUCUCCCACCAUCAUAGAAGAUCCCACAGACACAGACGCCCAAAGUCUGACUGCUGUGACAGUGGCAGUGGGCACAGCCAGCAGUCUGGAGGCUGCUGUGGGAGCUCUGGGGGAUGCUGUGGAAGCUCUGGGGGAUGUUGUGGAAGCUCUGGGGGAUGUUGUGGAAGCUCUGGGGGCUGCUGCUGAUCAUCUUUUUCUCUGCAGCAAGCAUCAAUGAUGUUGAACUAUCUAACUAGGGGCCAAUAAAUGACCCUACCCACAUCUGCAGCUGUUAUGCCUACCUCUUCAUUCGCCUCUCUGAAGUAGCUCCUCAGAAACCCUCAUUGAUCUUGGAUCAAUAAGCCUUGUGUUUGCCUAACCUCCAUCCUACUGCUCCCUCUUGGUCAGAGACAAUAUGCAACAAUAAAUCUACAUUCACAGUC